rnacentral:misc_RNA from 1 species
UCUCCGUUGGUGAACCAGCGGAGGGAUCAUUACAGAGUGUAAAAACUCCCAAAACCCAUGUGAACAUACCUUUUUGUUGCUUCGGCGGGAUCGCCCCGGGCGCCUUGUGUGCCCCGGAGUCAGGCGCCCGCCGGGGGACCCAAACUCUUGUUUUUAACGAGUAUCUUCUGAGUAACGUUUUUAAAUAAAUAAAAACUUUCAACAACGGAUCUCUUGGUUCUG